rnacentral:rRNA from 1 species
GAUGAACGCUGGCGGCGUGCCUAAUACAUGCAAGUCGAGCGAACAGACGAGGAGCUUGCUCCUCUGACGUUAGCGGCGGACGGGUGAGUAACACGUGGAUAACCUACCUAUAAGACUGGGAUAACUUCGGGAAACCGGAGCUAAUACCGGAUAAUAUAUUGAACCGCAUGGUUCAAUAGUGAAAGACGGUUUUGCUGUCACUUAUAGAUGGAUCCGCGCCGCAUUAUCUAGUUGGUAAGGUAACGGCUUACCAAGGCAACGAUGCGUAGCCGACCUGAGAGGGGGAUCGGCCACACUGGAACUGAGACACGGUCCAGACUCCUACGGGAGGCAGCAGUAGGGAAUCUUCCGCAAUGGGCGAAAGCCUGACGGAGCAACGCCGCGUGAGUGAUGAAGGUCUUCGGAUCGUAAAACUCUGUUAUUAGGGAAGAACAAAUGUGUAAGUAACUAUGCACGUCUGGACGGUACCUAAGCAGAAAGCCACGGCUAACUACGU